rnacentral:rRNA from 1 species
CACGUAGGGUGCGAGCGUUGUCCGGAAUUAUUGGGCGUAAAGAGCUCGUAGGCGGUGUGUCGCGUCGGCCGUGAAAACCUGCAGCUUAACUGUGGGCUUGCGGUCGAUACGGGCAUCACUGGAGUUCGGCAGGGGAGACUGGAAUUCCUGGUGUAGCGGUGAAAUGCGUAGAUAUCGAGAGGAACACCUGCGGCGAAGGCGGGUUGCUGGGCUGACACUGACGCUGAAGCGCGAAAGCUAGGGGAGCGAACGGG